AACAUUCAGGAAGUGAUCCGGGAGCGGGUUAGCGUGGAGAAAGCCGUGGUGGUGGAAGAAGAACUGAUCAAGGACACCCGAGCCUUUGCCACCGCCGAACGCGAAAAAUCCGUAGCCAUCAAGCACGCCGAGCAGGUAGCCGAAGAAGCCCUGGUGCAGCAAAUUAAAUCUGCGGAAGCCGCCAAACGGGCCGCCGAACUGCUGGCCGAGCAGGCCAUUAUUCAGGCCAACGCCGACCGGCAGGCUGCUGAGAAGCACGCCGAAGCCAAGAAGAUGCUGGCCGACGCCCGGGUAAAAGAAGAAGCCGC
rnacentral:misc_RNA from 1 species